GGAUAUGUGUAGGAGAUACUAGGUUAUCCUGACCCGAAAGGAACUGGUUAAUGAUCUAUUGUAUUACAGAUGGUCAUAACAGGACCAUAACAGGAAGAAGAAGACAUGAGAAUGAGGGUAAUUUCCAAGGACAAGGAAACAGGUGUUAUGCUACAAUAAUACAGGUGUUGCAUAGGGAGAUAUGUAGCUUGGAUAGAUUGUGAACCCAGGAAAGGGGCAGAGACUGUAUAUUUGAACCUGUAUAUAAACCCCAGCCUUCCUGGGAACCAUGUCUUCUGCCAUGAGCAGAAUUCCCUUUUGCAAAAGCUUAAUAAUAAAGCUCUUGUUCACAUGUUUCCAGUUGUUUUUUGAUUAUUAUCACAAUGAAUUUAGGAAUC